rnacentral:rRNA from 1 species
UACGAAGGGGGCAAGCGUUGUUCGGAUUUACUGGGCGUAAAGCGUACGUAGGCGGAUCAUUAAGUCAGGGGUGAAAUCCCGGGGCUCAACCUCGGAACUGCCUUUGAUACUGGUGAUCUUGAGUCCGGGAGAGGUGAGUGGAACUCCUAGUGUAGAGGUGAAAUUCGUAGAUAUUAGGAAGAACACCAGUGGCGAAGGCGGCUCACUGGCCCGGAACUGACGCUGAGGUACGAAAGCGUGGGGGAGCAAACAGG